rnacentral:rRNA from 1 species
UACCGAGGGUGCAAGCGUUAUCCGGAUUUACUGGGUUUAAAGGGUGCGUAGGUGGAUUGGUAAGUCAGUGGUGAAAUACUUUCGCUUAACGAAGGAACUGCCAUUGAUACUAUCAAUCUUGAAUGUAGUGGAGGUAGGCGGAAUGCGUCAUGUAGCGGUGAAAUGCUUAGAUAUGACGCAGAACACCAAUUGCGAAGGCAGCUUGCUACACUACUAUUGACACUGAGGCACGAAAGCGUGGGGAUCAAACAGG